UGUUGUGUAAUUCGAAUACAAGGCGUAAACAAUGAUUGAUAGGUAAUUCGUGUCUUAUUUACCAGUGCAGUAGGAAAUAUACGUGCAGGUAAAAAAAAAAAAAAAAAAUGGCAGGAAAAGGGAAUCCAAAUUUAGAAAAAGUUCUUGAGGCUCAGUAUCUGAUCAAGAAGAUGCAUGAAGUUUCACAGCUGAUGGGUGUGGAUCUCGAUCCGAAAACUCUGGUGCUCAGCAUGCGGCUGAUGGAACACGGAGCUAAUCCAGCAGCUCUUGCAAAAUUAAUCAAAGAUAUCAAAAGAACUGUAAGUAUUCUGGAAGAGACAGACAAGCAAGACAAA